UACGACGUAUCAGAGUUUGAUCCUGGCUCAGGAUGAACGCUAGCGACAGGCCUAACACAUGCAAGUCGAGGGGCAACAGGGAACAAGCUUGCUUGUUCUGCUGGCGACCGGCGCACGGGUGAGUAACACGUAUGCAACCUGCCCGUCACAGGGGGAUAACCGGGGGAAACCCCGCCUAAUACCCCAUAUUAUAUAGUUAUUGCAUGAUGAUUAUAUGAAAACCUUGGUGGUGACGGAUGGGCAUGCGGUGCAUUAGCUAGUUGGUGAGGUAACGGCUCACCAAGGCGACGAUGCAUAGGGGUUCUGAGAGGAAGGUCCCCCACACUGGUACUGAGACACGGACCAG
rnacentral:rRNA from 1 species